UUAGGAAAUGUAAAGGUGUUAAUAGCGCCUUUAUUUGACGAAGGCUCCAGAGGAAGCCACGGCUAACUCUGUGCCAGCAGCCGCGGUAAUACAGAGGUGGCAAGCGUUGUUCGGAAUUAUUGGGCGUAAAGAGCACGUAGGCGGUCCUGCAAGUCUGUUGUGAAAUCCUUCCGCUUAACGGGAGAACGGCAGCUGAUACUACAGGACUAGAGU
rnacentral:rRNA from 1 species